rnacentral:misc_RNA from 1 species
AUGCUGUGCACACCGGCUCACUGACGCCGCCCGCCAGUCAUUACUGCCGUCGACCCGCUGCCGUGCCGCCUCCACCGACGACCAUACAUCCAAAGUAAUCGGCAGAAGGAUCGAGUAGGUGAUUGGAAACUAGCAGGGAGGGAUCGGAAGUAAUGGCAAGCGUACCUGCUCAAAUUCCUACCAGUUUUGGGCAUGAGCUCAGAGCUUGUCUUCGUUGUCGUCUUGUCAAAACUUACGAUCAGUUUCGAGAAUCG